AGCGAACGCUGGCGGCAGGCUAAACACAUGCAAGUCGAGCGGGCACUUUCGGGUGUCAGCGGCGGACGGGUGAGUAACGCGUGGGAACGUGCCCUCUGGUUCGGAAUAACUCAGGGAAACUUGAGCUAAUACCGGAUACGCCCUUUUGGGGAAAGGCUUGCUGCCGGAGGAUCGGCCCGCGUCUGAUUAGCUAGUUGGUGAGGUAACGGCUCACCAAGGCGACGAUCAGUAGCUGGUCUGAGAGGAUGAUCAGCCACACUGGGACUGAGACACGGCCCAGACUCCUACGGGAGGCAGCAGUGGGGAAUAUUGGACAAUGGGCGCAAGCCUGAUCCAGCCAUGCCGCGUGAGUGAUGAAGGCCUUAGGGUUGUAAAGCUCUUUUAUCCGGGACGAUAAUGACGGUACCGGAGGAAUAAGCCCCGGCUAACUUCGUG
rnacentral:rRNA from 1 species